AGUAUCCGGUGUAAAAUACAGGUUUGAACAGGUAUGAACAGGUGUGAACAGGUGUAAACAGGUAUGAACAGGUAUGAACAGGUAUGAACAGGUGUGAACAGGUAUGAACAGGUAUGAACAGGUGUGAACAGGUGUGAACAGGUAUGAACAGGUGUGAACAGUUAUGAACAGGUGUUUACAGGUAUAAACAGGUAUGAACAGGUGUAAACAGGUAUGAACAGGUAUGAACAGGUGUGAACAGGUGUGAACAGGUGUGAACAGGUAUGAACAGGUGUGAACAGGUGUGAACAGGUGUGACCCAAUCACUCAAACCGAUUUUUUGAUUUACUGAUCA